AGCAUAUCAAUAAGCGGAGGAAAAAGAAACCAACAGGGAUUGCCCUAGUAACGGCGAGUGAAGCGGCAUCAGCUCAAAUUUGAAAUCUGGCUCUUUCAGGGUCCGAGUUGUAAUUUGCAGAGGGCGCUUUGGUGUUGGCAGCGGUCCAAGUUCCUUGGAACAGGACGUCACAGAGGGUGAGAAUCCCGUACGUGGUCGCUGGCCUUCGCCGUGUAAAGCCCCUUCGACGAGUCGAGUUGUUUGGGAAUGCAGCUCUAAAUGGGAGGUAAAUUUCUUCUAAAGCUAAAUACUGGCCAGAGACCGAUAGCGCACAAGUAGAGUGAUCGAAAGAUGAAAAGCACUUUGGAAAGAGAGUCAAAUAGCACGUGAAAUUGUUGAAAGGGAAGCGCUUGCAGCCAGACUUGCCUGUAGUUGCUCAUCUAGGCUUUUGUCUAGUGCACUCUUCUGCGGGCAGGCCAGCAUCAGUCUAGGCGGUUGGAUAAAGGCCUCUGUCAUGUACCUCCUCUCGGGGAGGCCUUAUAGGGGAGGCGUAAUGCAACCAGCCUGGACUGAGGUCCGCGCAUCUGCUAGGAUGCUGGCGUAAUGGCUGUAAGCGGCCCGUCUUGAAACACGGACCAAGGAGUCUAACAUCUAUGCGAGUGUUUGGGUGUCAAGCCCGAGCGCGUAAUGAAAGUGAACGGAGGUGGGAUCCCUUUAGGGUGCACCAUCGACCGAUCCUGAUGUCUUCGGAUGGAUUUGAGUAAGAGCAUGGCUGUUGGGACCCGAAAGAUGGUGAACUAUGCUUGAAUAGGGUGAAGCCAGAGGAAACUCUGGUGGAGGCUCGCAGCGGUUCUGACGUGCAAAUCGAUCGUCAAAUUUGGGCAUAGGGGGCGAAAGACUAAUCGAACUAUCUAGUAGCUGGUUCUG
rnacentral:rRNA from 1 species